rnacentral:rRNA from 1 species
AUUGAACGCUGGCGGCAGGCCUAACACAUGCAAGUCGAACGAGUGGCGGACGGGUGAGUAAUGUCUGGGAACCUGCCUGAUGGCGGGGGAUAACUACUGGAAACGGUAGCUAAUCCCGCAUACCAUCGGAUGUGCCCUGAUGGGAUUCGCUAGUAGGUGGGGUAACGGCUAACCUAGGCGACGAUCCCUAGCUGGUCUGAGAGGAUGACCAGCCACACUGGAACUGAGACACGGUCCAGACUCCUACGGGAGGCAGCAGUGGGGAAUAUUGCACAAUGGGCGCAAGCCUGAUGGAGCCACGCCGCGUGAAUGAAGAAGGUCUUCGGGUUGUAAAGUACUGUCAGUGGGGAGGCGGUACCCGCAGAAGAAGCACCGGCUAACUCCGUGCCAGCAGCCGCGGUAAUUC